ACUGAAGCGAAGGAGCGAUUGGUGUGCUCGCUAACCCUAACCAAGGCGAGCGGUGACGCCAGCGGCGGCGGCGAGCUGGCGCCAGGAUCCGUUUAGCCCUUGUGGCCGCGAUGUUGCAUAGAAGAGCGACCGAAGAAGGGAUCCCUAAUGACAGCGGAAGAAGGUUCCCGGCGUGCCGCGCGCUGGCUGCCGUCUCCACCCGCAUCUGCGCGCGAAGACAGGUACGCCGUCGCGCGCUCGACGUACUCCCCACUCCCUACUCCCGUGCAUGCAUCCUCCCAGUCUCGCCCUGGUCAGAGAGGGAGAAAGAGAGAGAGAGAGGAGCGGGGUUGAUUCAUCGCAGUGGCGGGUUUUGACCAGAAUUCACAAUGGCGAGCACGCGAGAUGGCACUCGAUCUGGGAAUAGAGUGCUCACAUGACGGCUCAAGUAGACAAGGUACGAGUACAUACCAAUUCCUUUGAUGAUUGUGGACAACCAAGGAGAGAAAAAUAAUCAUGGAUAGGUUUCAAUCGUGAUUUACCUUUUCCCUUCCUGGAUUUUCUCCUGGUGUUACAGAUUUUUGUGCCUGCUUCUCGGUUUCAAUCUGUCAUGUAUGCGACUUAUUUCUGUUUCAGUUGACAAGUCACUAGGCAUCUGCCGGAUGAUUGAUAUGUUUUCAUUCUUGGUAGCAUUUAUAUGGGUAUGGCUGUGAGCGUCCAACUUUAUUUGUAUAAUUUCUAUAAUCAAAUAACAUGACCAUGGUUAGGUUGGAACCUGAAGGGAAAUAAACAAUCUGGUACCAUGGUUGUCAAGGAAGGUGGAUGCAUGUUUACUUAUAAUUCUGCUACUAUUUGACUUGUGAGUUUUGUUCUUCAACUGAAUCUUAUCCUUGGCAUUUCUAACAAGAACCUGCAUUUGCAAGCAAGAUGUUUGCACAGUGCACCUGAAACUUGAGGCCGAUGCGUUAUUGAGAUUCCAUUUUGCUGGAGAGGUUGGUGGCAGAGGGGGCGAGACUCAGGUUUGGAAGACCAGCAAGACACAAUGAAGACAGACGAGCCUCAUCUUUUUGACUAAUUGGGACGAUCCCUUGUUGCAUGCCAUUAACGACUAGGCUGCAUGAAUUAUGUCUUUCGGGCAGAGGAGCAAAAUGAAUAGAAUCCCAAUAGGUGCAAGAAGGGUGACCGCUCCAUGGAGGAUGGUUUGUACAAGAAGGGCAAGCAGAAGAGUGCCAAGCUGAUGGGGUUAGCCGCCCAAGGACUCUUUCCAUGUCCAGGUAGGGAGAGCGAAGGUAUUAGUGAAACCUUGCAGAGUGGUUACAUUAUUGUCUAUGGAAUUUUUCCUUUUUCUCGUUCAGCUUGUUGAAUUUAUUAAUUCUUGCAUUGAAUUGUGCCUCCACAUGGAUAGGUGAGAAUAGAUCAAGCAGAGCAUGAAGUUUGAAACUUCUCGGUCCUGGUUCCAUGUAACAAUGUACUACCUUAGUGAUUUCAUAAUAAAAACUGAGAAGAACCAAGUAGUUGAUCUUUAUGCAUGUUAUUUUCUGUAAUGAAAAAAAUACGCAAAAGGUCAGUAAAUAUGUUGGUGAAAUUGUGGGUUUCAUUGUUUUGUUUUGCUAGCAGCCUGGUAUUAUUAGGGUGAGAACAAGUUUGACACGUACGCAAACAUUACGUUUGACUAUGGAUCGUUUUUUGCAUAUUAUCUCACAAGUAAUGAAGUCAUUUUAGUAAACAGAGUAAUAAAUAAUCAUACUGAUAAGUGUUUGUCAUGGAUUUAAUGGUCUGGUAUAUUGUAUUCUUUUAUUUAGUUCAAGGGGAAGUUGUCUAUGUAUCAGUGCAACAUUUGUGAUUUUGCGUCGCGAGGCUACACAAGGUAUAUCUUGCAUGCCAAUGAGGCAUGAAAACUUUACAUUUAUCAUGGAAUGAAUUUUCCUGAUGUCUUUAUCUAUCGAAAUGAUAUUCUGCUUCAGUGUCAUCUCAGGCCUUGGUGGUUGAUUUUUCUAUUUCCUUGUUCCGUGCUCUAAAUAUCAUUUUGGCAGGUCCGCGGCUUGAAAGAUCAGUAUGGUGGUACCACAUUUAAACAAUUAUGUAUGCUUGGAGCCUCGCCUGAUUGGUGACACAAAAUAGAAAUCCUUUUUCAAUCGCCCUGUUGCAGUUGCUUGAGAAAGAUGAACAUAGUUGUACAAAAUUUAGACAAUUGUAGAUGUGAGUAUAACAUAAUAUUGUAUCUUACACUUAAACCAUUGUUUUGUUCUUCACAUUUAAUUUAUAGACUAUAAGAAAGAGACCAUGUUUGUUAGCCA